rnacentral:lncRNA from 1 species
AUGAUCAAGGAGGGGUUAUGCUCAACCAAAAUCCAUGCACAACCUCUGCACCAUGAUGACUUGUCCAGAAAAGCUCUCUUAAGACCAGGUAGAGCAAAGGGCACUUUUGAGAGACUGCUGGCUUGCGGCCAAAUCCACUUCCACCCCAGUUGGGCUGCUCAUACAGGCAAAGAAAUGCCCUGGAGCUCAUACCUCCAUCUCACACACACACACGCAUACACGGAGAGCCAGCGAAGCGCUCUCUAACUACUGAACUGGCCUGCAAUGAUGGAUGGCACUAGAGGGAGCGGAGCUGUGUGGCUCUGACAUGUACUUCCUUAUUUUCAGCAGUGCUGAGAGGAGCUAGUCCACUGCGUCCACUCUCCAUCUUCACCAGCAAGCCAAAGGCAACACGGUCCUUGUAGUCAAACAUACGCUGUAAAUCUGCAGACAGAAAACAGUCACGUUCCCUCGCACGUAUUGAUGCGGCCAUACACAGCAUGGCCCAUUCGCUCCAUGCUCUAAUGCUUUGUGAUUAUACAGUCACACACCAGAAAGCCAGAUUUUAAUUGUUACCCCAUAAUCCAACAGCAAACUGAUAGUGCCAAAGUGUGUUGAUCAAAGCCAGAUAUGACCAUACAAGCGCCAGCAAUCACCAUAAUAAAACCCAGGACACGCUACAGCCAAGCAGCACCACUCUGGCGCCAAGAGGAAAAUGAUCCCUAGCCCAAAAAUUGCUGCCCAUCAGGAGGACCUGGCAGAAGUGAGUAGCUAAUCAGUUCAUCAAAAUGGCCGCACCACCUCCCAACCUCUCUCCCUAUCCUCUCUUGAAGGUAGAGGUCUGCAUUCGACACAACUGAAUGCAGCACGGGAAAAGUUCUAAAUCUCUGAGAGCAAGAGGGAAGAUAACGAUGUGCGUCCAGGAAGCGGGAGAAAGAAAUCACUUGUGGGACUCCCACAAAAUAUAAAUAUCUAAAAAUAAAAUAAAAGUGACUCAGAUUUGUUUUAAGGUAGAAAAUGUUUACAAGUGCAGGGUUGGAUAUUCUCCAACGGGACAUAAUCUUGUGGAAAUGAGACUGAAAAAUCAAUCCCGCACAAACCUCUACUUGGAGGAUCUUUAGGGUCUUCUAGAAGAAGCUUCUCAUAAAUUCUGUUCCUUUUCAAAUGGAAA